UGGCAAUUGGCUUGGAAAUUAGCCUCUAAAAUGUCCACAUGGGUAGACACAUGAGCAUGUGUCUAGGCCGUGUGUGACACACGGUCAGACCCAUGGCAUGUUGCUCGGUCGUGUGUCCUUUGUACCUUAGUUUUGCAAGUCAGUAUGCCUAGUGGUAAACACACGGGCAUGUGUUUUGGCCGUGUGAGAGACACGGCCUACCCACAUGGGCGUGUACUCUGGCCGUGUGAAGUCUGC
rnacentral:lncRNA from 1 species